GAACGCACAUUGCGCCCCCUGGUAUUCCGGGGGGCAUGUCUGUCCGAGCGUCAUUACAACCCUCAAGCUCUGCUUGGUGUUGGGCCCCGCCGCCCCGGCGGGCCCUAAAGUCAGUGGCGGUGCCAUCCGGCUCCGAGCGUAGUAAUUCUUCUCGCUCUGGAGGUCCGGUUGUGUGCUCGCCAUCAACCCCCAAUUUUUUUCAGGUUGACCUCGGAUCAGGUAGGGAUACCCGCUGAACUUAAG
rnacentral:misc_RNA from 1 species